GACGAACGCUGGCGGCGUGCUUAACACAUGCAAGUCGAACGGAAAGGCCCUGCUUUUGUGGGGUGCUCGAGUGGCGAACGGGUGAGUAACACGUGAGUAACCUGCCCUUGACUUUGGGAUAACUUCAGGAAACUGGGGCUAAUACCGGAUAGGAGCUCCUGCUGCAUGGGGGGGGUUGGAAAGUUUCGGCGGUUGGGGAUGGACUCGCGGCUUAUCAGCUUGUUGGUGGGGUAGUGGUUUACCAAGGCUUUGACGGGUAGCCGGCCUGAGAGGGUGACCGGCCACAUUGGGACUGCGAUACGGCCCAGACUCCUACGGGAGGCAGCAGUGGGGAAUAUUGCACUAUGGGCGGAAGCCUGAUGCAGCAACGCCGCGCGUGGGAUGACGGCCUUCGGGUUGUAAACCGCUUUCGCCUGUGACGAAGCGUGAGUGACGGUAAUGGGUAAAGAAGCACCGGCUAACUACGUG
rnacentral:rRNA from 1 species